rnacentral:rRNA from 1 species
CUACACGACCGUACCGCAAACCGACACUGGUGCGCGAGAUGAGUAUUCUAAGGCGCUUGAGAGAACUCAGGAGAAGGAACUCGGCAAAUUGACACCGUAACUUCGGAAGAAGGUGUGCCUUUAGUAGGUGGAGGGAUUUACUCCUAGAGCCCAAUGAGGUUGCAAAAAAUCGGUGGCUGCGACUGUUUAUUAAAAACACAGCACUCUGCAAACACGAAAGUGGACGUAUAGGGUGUGACGCCUGCCCGGUGCUGGAAGAUUAAAUGAUGGGGUGCAAGCUCUUGAUUGAAGUCCCAGUAAACGGCGGCCGUAACUAUAACGGUCCUAAGGUAGCGAAAUUCCUUGUCGGGUAAGUUCCGACCUGCACGAAUGGCGUAACGAUGGCCACACUGUCUCCUCCUGAGACUCAGCGAAGUUGAAAUGUUUGUGAUGAUGCAAUCUCCCCGCGGAAAGACGGAAAGACCCCAUGAACCUUUACUGUAGCUUUGUAUUGGACUUUGAACAGAUCUGUGUAGGAUAGGUGGGAGGCUUUGAAGUAGGGUCGCUAGAUCUUAUGGAGCCAACGUUGAAAUACCACCCUGGUGUGUUUGAGGUUCUAACCUAGGUCCAUUAUCUGGAUCGGGGACAGUGCAUGGUAGGCAGUUUGACUGGGGCGGUCUCCUCCCAAAGCGUAACGGAGGAGUUCGAAGGUACGCUAGUUACGGUCGGACAUCGUGACGAUAGUGCAAUGGCAUAAGCGUGCUUAACUGCGAGACUGACAAGUCGAGCAGAUGCGAAAGCAGGACAUAGUGAUCCGGUGGUUCUGUAUGGAAGGGCCAUCGCUCAACGGAUAAAAGGUACUCUGGGGAUAACAGGCUGAUACCGCCCAAGAGUUCAUAUCGACGGCGGUGCUUGGCACCUCGAUGUCGGCUCAUCUCAUCCUGGGGCUGUAGCCGGUCCCAAGGGUAUGGCUGUUCGCCAUUUAAAGAGGUACGUGAGCUGGGUUUAAAACGUCGUGAGACAGUUUGGUCCCUAUCUUCCGUGGGCGCUGCAGAUUUGAGGAAGCCUGCUCCUAGUACGAGAGGACCGGAGUGGACACACCUCUGGUGUAUCGGUUGUCACGCCAGUGGCAUUGCCGAGUAGCUAAGUGUGGAAGAGAUAACCGCUGGAAGCAUCUAAGCGGGAAACUCGUUUCAAGAUGAGAUCUGCCGGGGCCCUGAGCCCCCUAAAGAGUCGUUCAAGACCAGGACGUUGAUAGGUCGGGUGUGGAAGCGCAGUAAUGCGUUAAGCUAACCGAUACUAAUUGCUCGUGCGGCUUGACCUG